GACAUGGAGACACUGGGAGACUUGGGUACACUGAGACACUAGGGACACAGUGUCCCCAGGUGUCUCAGUGUCCCCAUGUCU